UACAUACUAUAUCAAUUUGGUCAAGGUGCUCUCACCAUUUGCCUAUAUAAAUAUAUGUCUAAAGAACAUAUUCUACAUUAAUUGAGUAAAAACAUAUAUUCUACAUAUAAGAAGAUGAACGCAACAAGGAAUUCUCCUCUCAAGUUGGCAAUCUUGUUGGCUUUUCUCAUCAUUUCAUCAGAUAUGUGCAUGGAAUUGGAAGCAAGGAUCAUAACUAAUGAUGAAACACUAACUUGUCGCACAAAUGAAGAUUGUCAUGCCUAUAAAAUUGGUUGUUCAAAACUACACGCUGUAAUAUGUUUUGAAAACGAGUGUCAAUGUCUCCCACCUUUCACCAACAAUAUUCCUAGUCUAUAAGCCCUCCAUUACAAACAUUGAGUAACAUGGACUAUUUACUCUAAUGAGAAUAAAAUAUAUAAAAUAAAAUAUUAAUAAGAAAGGAAUGAAAUUCUAUAGAGUUUUUACAAUA